AACGCCUUCCCGACCGACAGCGCCGUUGCAGAAGCGUAGCAGCCAUCCUCCUCAGAUUUAACAAAGGACAUCGUUAAGGAUUUUACCUGGAUUCACCUCAUCAGACACAAGUGUCCCCGCAGAGCUCAGUGGAGGAGCUGUUUGAUGUGUCUGACAUCUCUAUCAGAGAGCAGCGAGGAGUUGGUCUGCGGGGAGAAACAGCCCGAAGUGUAUACGAGGAACUUUCACACAUAUUUAAGUGCCUACAAACACACAGAUACCAGAAUAUACCAGGAUACGUAGAGCAUGCAGAGUCCAGGACCCAGGCUCUUG